AUUGAACGCUGGCGGCAGGCCUAACACAUGCAAGUCGAGCGGAGCGGCGGACGGGUGAUUAAUGCCUAGGAAUCUGCCUGGUAGUGGGGGAUAACGUCCGGAAACGGGCGCUAAUACCGCAUACUAUCAGAUGAGCCUAGGUCGGUUUAGCUAGGUGGUGGGGUAAAGGCCUACCAAGGCGACGAUCCGUAACUGGUCUGAGAGGAUGAUCAGUCACACUGGAACUGAGACACGGUCCAGACGCCUAAGGGAGGCAGAAGUGGGGAAAAUUGGACAAUGGGCGAAAGCCGGAUCCAGCCAUACCGCGUGUGUGAAGAAGGUCUUCGGAUUGAAAAGCACUUUAAGUUGGGAGGCGUUACCAACAGAAUAAGCAACGGCUAACUACGUGCCAGCAGACGCGGUAAUUC
rnacentral:rRNA from 1 species